AUUGAACGCUGGCGGCAGGCCUAACACCUGCAAGUCGAGCGCGCGGCGGACGGGUGAGUAAUGUAUGGGGACUGCCCGAUAGAGGGGGAUAAAUACUGGAAACGGUAGCUCAUACCGCAUACUAUCGGAUAAUCCAUAUGGGAUUAGCUAGUAGGUGAGGUAAUGGCUCACCUAGCCGACGAUCCCUAGCUGGUCUGAGAGGAUGAUCAGCCACAUUGGUACUGAGACACGGCCCAGACGCCUACGGAGGCAGCAGUGGGGAAUAUUGCACAAUGGGCGCAAGCCUGAUGCAGCCAUGCCGCGUGUAUGAAGAAGUCCCUAGGGUUGUAAAGUACUUUCAGUCGGGAGGCGUUACCGACAGAAGAAGCACCGGCGAACGAGGGGCCAGCAGCCGCGGUAAUUC
rnacentral:rRNA from 1 species